AUGAACGCUGGCGGCGUGCCUAAUACAUGCAAGUCGAGCGAACAGACGAGGAGCUUGCUCCUCUGACGUUAGCGGCGGACGGGUGAGUAACACGUGGAUAACCUACCUAUAAGACUGGGAUAACUUCGGGAAACCGGAGCUAAUACCGGAUAAUAUAUUGAACCGCAUGGUUCAAUAGUGAAAGACGGUUUUGCUGUCACUUAUAGAUGGAUCCGCGCCGCAUUAGCUAGUUGGUAAGGUAACGGCUUACCAAGGCAACGAUGCGUAGCCGACCUGAGAGGGUGAUCGGCCACACUGGAACUGAGACACGGUCCAGACUCCUACGGGAGGCAGCAGUAGGGAAUCUUCCGCAAUGGGCGAAAGCCUGACGGAGCAACGCCGCGUGAGUGAUGAAGGUCUUCGGAUCGUAAAACUCUGUUAUUAGGGAAGAACAAAUGUGUAAGUAACUAUGCACGUCUUGACGGUACCUAAUCAGAAAACCACGGCUAACUACGUG
rnacentral:rRNA from 1 species